CAGAAUAUAGCUAAAUCUAUAGCUCUUCCCUUACACUGAAAAGUUCCCCGCGCAACUCGGGUUAUUCUGA
rnacentral:tRNA from 1 species